GACGAACGCUGGUGGCGUGCUUAACACAUGCGAGUCGAACGGGAUUUAGUAAACAGCAGCCUCGGUGGAAGAUUACUAAUGAGAGUGGCGAACGGGUGAGUAACGCGUGAGCAACCUGCCUAUGACAGUGGGAUAGCCUCGGGAAACCGGGAUUAAUACCGCAUAAAAUCGUAGAAACACAUGUUUUAACGGUCAAAGAUUUAUCGGUCAUAGAUGGGCUCGCGUCUGAUUAGCUAGUUGGUGAGAUAACAGCCCACCAAGGCGACGAUCAGUAGCCGGUCUGAGAGGAUGAACGGCCACAUUGGAACUGAGACACGGUCCAAACUCCUACGGGAGGCAGCAGUGGGGAAUAUUGCACAAUGGGGGAAACCCUGAUGCAGCGACGCCGCGUGAACGAAGAAGGUAUUCGUAUCGUAAAGUUCUGUCCUAUGGGAAGAUAAUGACAGUACCAUAGAAGAAAGCUCCGGCUAAAUACGUG
rnacentral:rRNA from 1 species